CACGUAGGGUGCGAACGUUGUCCGGAAUUAUUGGGCGUAAAGAGCUCGUAGGCGGUGUGUCGCGUCGGCCGUGAAAACCUGCAGCUUAACUGUGGGCUUGCGGUCGAUACGGGCAUCACUGGAGUUCGGCAGGGGAGACUGGAAUUCCUGGUGUAGCGGUGAAAUGCGCAGAUAUCAGGAGGAACACCGGUGGCGAAGGCGGGUCUCUGGGCCGAUACUGACGCUGAGGAGCGAAAGCGUGGGGAGCGAACAGG
rnacentral:rRNA from 1 species